GUAUAGCUCAAGCGGUAGAGCGCAUGCUUAGCAAGCACGGGGUCCUGGGUUUGAUCCCCGGUAC
rnacentral:tRNA from 1 species